rnacentral:tRNA from 1 species
CAGGGAGUAGUUUAAUACUAGAAUAUCAGCUUUGGGUGUUGAUGGUGGAAUUAAAAAUUCUCUCCUUGA